rnacentral:rRNA from 1 species
GGUUAAGCGACUAAGCGUACACGGUGGAUGCCUUGGCAGUCAGAGGCGAUGAAGGACGUGCUAAUCUGCGAUAAGCGUCGGUAAGGUGAUAUGAACCGUUAUAACCGGCGAUUUCCGAAUGGGGAAACCCAGUGUGUUUCGACACACUAUCAUUAACUGAAUCCAUAGGUUAAUGAGGCGAACCGGGGGAACUGAAACAUCUAAGUACCCCGAGGAAAAGAAAUCAACCGAGAUUCCCCCAGUAGCGGCGAGCGAACGGGGAGCAGCCCAGAGCCUGAAUCAGUGUGUGUGUUAGUGGAAACGUCUGGAAAGGCGCGCGAUACAGGGUGACAGCCCCGUACACAAAAAUGCACAUGCUGUGAGCUCGAUGAGUAGGGCGGGACACGUGGUAUCCUGUCUGAAUAUGGGGGGACCAUCCUCCAAGGCUAAAUACUCCUGACUGACCGAUAGUGAACCAGUACCGUGAGGGAAAGGCGAAAAGAACCCCGGCGAGGGGAGUGAAAAAGAACCUGAAACCGUGUACGUACAAGCAGUGGGAGCACGCUUAGGCGUGUGACUGCGUACCUUUUGUAUAAUGGGUCAGCGACUUAUAUUCUGUAGCAAGGUUAACCGAAUAGGGGAGCCGAAGGGAAACCGAGUCUUAACUGGGCGUUAAGUUGCAGGGUAUAGACCCGAAACCCGGUGAUCUAGCCAUGGGCAGGUUGAAGGUUGGGUAACACUAACUGGAGGACCGAACCGACUAAUGUUGAAAAAUUAGCGGAUGACUUGUGGCUGGGGGUGAAAGGCCAAUCAAACCGGGAGAUAGCUGGUUCUCCCCGAAAGCUAUUUAGGUAGCGCCUCGUGAAUUCAUCUCCGGGGGUAGAGCACUGUUUCGGCAAGGGGGUCAUCCCGACUUACCAACCCGAUGCAAACUGCGAAUACCGGAGAAUGUUAUCACGGGAGACACACGGCGGGUGCUAACGUCCGUCGUGAAGAGGGAAACAACCCAGACCGCCAGCUAAGGUCCCAAAGUCAUGGUUAAGUGGGAAACGAUGUGGGAAGGCCCAGACAGCCAGGAUGUUGGCUUAGAAGCAGCCAUCAUUUAAAGAAAGCGUAAUAGCUCACUGGUCGAGUCGGCCUGCGCGGAAGAUGUAACGGGGCUAAACCAUGCACCGAAGCUGCGGCAGCGACGCUUAUGCGUUGUUGGGUAGGGGAGCGUUCUGUAAGCCUGCGAAGGUGUACUGUGAGGUAUGCUGGAGGUAUCAGAAGUGCGAAUGCUGACAUAAGUAACGAUAAAGCGGGUGAAAAGCCCGCUCGCCGGAAGACCAAGGGUUCCUGUCCAACGUUAAUCGGGGCAGGGUGAGUCGACCCCUAAGGCGAGGCCGAAAGGCGUAGUCGAUGGGAAACAGGUUAAUAUUCCUGUACUUGGUGUUACUGCGAAGGGGGGACGGAGAAGGCUAUGUUGGCCGGGCGACGGUUGUCCCGGUUUAAGCGUGUAGGCUGGUUUUCCAGGCAAAUCCGGAAAAUCAAGGCUGAGGCGUGAUGACGAGGCACUACGGUGCUGAAGCAACAAAUGCCCUGCUUCCAGGAAAAGCCUCUAAGCAUCAGGUAACAUCAAAUCGUACCCCAAACCGACACAGGUGGUCAGGUAGAGAAUACCAAGGCGCUUGAGAGAACUCGGGUGAAGGAACUAGGCAAAAUGGUGCCGUAACUUCGGGAGAAGGCACGC